GGGGCAGUGUGAGGGUAGUAAUGGUGCUUGUAGUGGUGGAGAGGUGAGUGUUGGUCUUUGUGGGCCGGAGUCGAUGGUUUUGGAGACGAAUUCAUCAUUCGGUUCGACUUCUUCUUCAGUUUCUCUGUCGAAUUUGCCCGCUAAGGGUCAGGUUGAGGAUCAUAGAGCGGGUUCUCUGGAUAACAAGGUCAAGUUGUCCACUUCAGAAUCAUUUGCAAGUGGCAAUAGUGUAGCUACUGCUGUUUCUCAUCCACAGACUUUGACUUAUCAAGACCCAGUUGCUUCAGUUCCUGCAACGGAGAAUACAAAUUCUUUCACCCCAUUAGAAUCUGUGAGUAAAAUCCUUGAUCCUUCCAUUGGGGUUGAGACGCAAAAAGUGGUUCAUGUUU
rnacentral:misc_RNA from 1 species